rnacentral:rRNA from 1 species
GGUCAAGCGAAUAAGCGCACACGGUGGAUGCCUUGGCGGUCAGAGGCGAUGAAGGACGUGGCAGCCUGCGAAAAGUAUCGGGGAGCUGGCAACAAGCUUUGAUCCGGUAAUGUCCGAAUGGGGAAACCCACCCGCUUGCGGGUAUCCUGCAGUGAAUACAUAGCUGCUGGAAGCGAACCUGGUGAACUGAAAUAUCUAAGUAACCAGAGGAAAAGAAAUCAACCGAGAUUCCGUAAGUAGCGACGAGCGAACGCGGACUAGCCCUUAAGCUGGAUUGGUUCUAGGAAAACGCUCUGGAAAGAGCGGCCAUAGAAGGUGAUAGCCCUGUAUCUGAAAGGGCCAUUCCAGUGAAGACGAGUAGGGCGGGGCACGUGAAACCCUGUCUGAACAUGGGGGGACCAUCCUCCAAGGCUAAAUACUACUGACCGACCGAUAGUGAACCAGUACCGUGAGGGAAAGGCGAAAAGAACCCCGGAGAGGGGAGUGAAAUAGAACCUGAAACCGUGUGCGUACAAGCAGUAGGAGCUCCGCAAGGAGUGACUGCGUACCUUUUGUAUAAUGGGUCAGCGACUUACUGUUCGUGGCAAGCUUAACCGUAUAGGGGAGGCGAAGGGAAACCGAGUCUGAUAAGGGCGCAUAGUCGCGGGCAGUAGACCCGAAACCGGGUGAUCUAGUCAUGCCCAGGGUGAAGGUGCGGUAACACGCACUGGAGGCCCGAACCCACUCCCGUUGCAAAGGUAGGGGAUGAGGUGUGAUUAGGAGUGAAAAGCUAAUCGAACCCGGAGAUAGCUGGUUCUCCUCGAAAGCUAUUUAGGUAGCGCCUCAUAUGUAUCCUCUCGGGGGUAGAGCACUGUUAUGGCUAGGGGGUCAUCGCGACUUACCAAACCAUUGCAAACUCCGAAUACCGAGACGGACUGUAUGGGAGACACACGGCGGGUGCUAACGUCCGUCGUGAAAAGGGAAACAACCCAGACCCACAGCUAAGGUCCCAAAUUCACUGCUAAGUGGAAAACCAUGUGGAAAGGCACAGACAGCCAGGAGGUUGGCUUAGAAGCAGCCACCCUUUAAAGAAAGCGUAAUAGCUCACUGGUCGAGUCGGUCUGCGGGGAAGAUUUAACGGGGCUAAGCAGUGAACCGAAGCUUGGGGUGCAUAACUUUGUUAUGCGCGGUAGAGGAGCGUUCCGUAAGCCGUUGAAGGUGGAUUGAGAAGUCUGCUGGAGGUAUCGGAAGUGCGAAUGCUGACAUGAGUAACGAUAAUGCGGGUGAAAAACCCGCACGCCGAAAGCCCAAGGUUUCCUUGCGCAACGUUAAUCGGCGCAGGGUGAGUCGGCCCCUAAGGCGAGGACGAAAGUCGUAGUCGAUGGGAAGCAGGUUAAUAUUCCUGCACCUCGCGUAAGUGCGAUGGAGGGACGGAGAAGGUUAGGUGUACCAGGCGUUGGUUGUCCUGGGGAAAGGCGGUAGGUUUGGAUCUUUGGCAAAUCCGGGAUCCUUUAAGACCGAGCACCGAGACGAGCCUUUAAGGCGAAGUCACUGAUACCACGCUUCCAGGAAAAGCUCCUAAGCUUCAGCUUACGCAGACCGUACCGUAAACCGACACAGGUGGGUAGGAUGAGAAUUCUCAGGCGCUUGAGAGAACUCGGGUGAAGGAACUAGGCAACAUGGCACCGUAACUUCGGGAGAAGGUGCACCCUUUUUGGUGGCUCGUGCGAGCUAUAGCUGAAGAGGGUCGCAGUAACCAGGCCGCUGCGACUGUUUAUCAAAAACACAGCACUCUGCAAACACGAAAGUGGACGUAUAGGGUGUGACGCCUGCCCGGUGCUGGAAGGUUAAUUGAUGGGGUCAGCCGCAAGGCGAAGCUCUUGAUCGAAGCCCCAGUAAACGGCGGCCGUAACUAUAACGGUCCUAAGGUAGCGAAAUUCCUUGUCGGGUAAGUUCCGACCUGCACGAAUGGCGUAACGACAGCGGCGCUGUCUCCACCCGAGACUCAGUGAAAUUGAAAUCGCUGUGAAGAUGCAGCGUUCCCGUGGCAAGACGGAAAGACCCCGUGAACCUUUACUAUAGCUUUACACUGAACGUUGAGUUCGUCUGUGUAGGAUAGGUGGGAGGCUAUGAAACUGUGGCGCUAGCUGCAGCGGAGCCAUCCUUGAAAUACCACCCUGUCGUGCUUGACGUUCUAACCUGGGCCCAUUAUCUGGGUCGGGGACCGUGUAUGGUGGGUAGUUUGACUGGGGCGGUCUCCUCCUAAAGAGUAACGGAGGAGCUCGAAGGUACGCUCAGCGCGGUCGGACAUCGCGCACUGUGUGCAAAGGCAUAAGCGUGCUUGACUGCAAGAUCGACGGAUCAAGCAGGUAGGAAACUAGGACUUAGUGAUCCGGUGGUUCUGUAUGGAAGGGCCAUCGCUCAACGGAUAAAAGGUACUCCGGGGAUAACAGGCUGAUACCGCCCAAGAGUUCAUAUCGACGGCGGUGUUUGGCACCUCGAUGUCGGCUCAUCACAUCCUGGGGCUGUAGUCGGUCCCAAGGGUAUGGCUGUUCGCCAUUUAAAGUGGUACGCGAGCUGGGUUCAGAACGUCGUGAGACAGUUCGGUCCCUAUCUGCCAUGGGCGUUGGAGAUUUGAGAGGGGCUGCUCCUAGUACGAGAGGACCGGAGUGGACGAACCUCUGGUGUUCCGGUUGUCACGCCAGUGGCAUUGCCGGGUAGCUAUGUUCGGAAGCGAUAACCGCUGAAAGCAUCUAAGCGGGAAGCGCGCCUCAAGAUGAGAUCUCCCGGGGCACAAGCCCCCUGAAGGAACCAUGUAGACUACGUGGUUGAUAGGUCAGGUGUGUAAGUACAGCAAUGUAUUGAGCUAACUGAUACUAAUGAUCCGUGCGGCUUGACCAU